CUCAGUACACAGCUGGGUGUGGUGGCACACACUGUAAUCUCAGUAGUUGAGAGGCUGAGUCACGAGGAUAGCCUCAAGUUUGAGGCCAGCCUGGGGUACAUCAUGAGUUCAUGGCCACCUAGACCCAUCCCUGGAUGAACUCUUGCCUGGAUGGCUCUGUCACUAACUGGCAUGAGUAACUUGCAUGGCAGAGGCACCAUGGCUGGCUCAUUCUCUACUGAAAUGUUCAUGUUGGUUAAACCACCAGAUAAUGAUGGUAACAAUCCUCAUGGCAUGGAAAGGUCAUAUUUCCAUUUGCUUUACCACUCCUCCAUCAGCCUCUGGAAUGAGUUUCAGACGAGCUGUCUAUAUGGGGCUCUCAUUUCUCCACUUGUUCUCCGUGGACAGGAUCCUCUUAAAGCCAACCACAGCAGGAAUCCCACAAAGCAUCUGCUUCCAGCUCCAGAAUCCAAGUUCUCAGCCUCCAGCACUCAGGAUGCAGCUUUACCCCAAUGCAUUUCUUUCAUCUCUGUCCUGGCGAGGACAUCUCUGUUCACAGUUACCUUUCUUUAACCAUUUUGGGGCAUCUGAAAGUCCCCCUACCUUAGUCACUUUUUAGUCACUGGGACUCAAGGACCAACACCAACGAAUCCAAGGAAGGGAGGUUAAUUCUAGCUCUUGUUUUUAGGCCAUAGUUGGCUGACUCCAAGACAAGAAGGUGUGAUGGAAGGACUGAGCAGAAGGAAGCUGCUCACUUCGUGGAAUUCAGCAAACAGAGAGAGAAGGGAGCCAGGCAGGGAAAUGCACCCUUUCAACUCAUGACCCCAGAGACCCACCUCUUGCAACCAGACCCCAACCUCCAAUAUCACAUUUAGCUAUAGCAACCCCAUGAUUCAGUCAUCUUUCAAAAGCCACACCUAUGAGUGCAUGAGGCUUUGGAGGGACAUCUAAUAUAAACCAUAACAAUAUAAACCCAAACAUCCCCAUUCACUUGGUCUGAAAGGAGUGAAGUGUUUCCUCUCUCUAGUGAGAAGUAGGGACGUGAGGAGCACACUGGCCCAGGAACCAAAGAAAUCCUCUCCCAACCUUCCCAGUCUCAAUGUGCAGCAAGAGCCUGGUGAUUCACUGACACCAGUAGAAACUGUCUCCCUUUUUCCAAGUCUCAUGGAAAUGGUGAAUGGAUGUGGUCAGCAAGAUACAGCCUGUGGAUCACAUCUCAAUCCUCACCUGUUUUGGGAGAACCCAUCAGCUAAGGAUGAUUUUCUAUUUUUAAAUGGUUUUUCAAAUCAAAAGAAGAAUAAUAUUUGGUGACACAUGACAAUUGCCCAAACUUCACAUUUCAGUGUCAUAAAUACAGUUUUCUUCGGAGCCCAGCCACACCCACUCAUCUCCUACUGUCUGUGGCCACUUUCACACUACCACAGCAGGGCUGUGACCUGACUGAGAUUAUGACCCACAUAGCCUAAAAUACUUGCUACCAUGUCUUUUACAGAAAAUGUGUGCUAAACUCUGGUCUAGAAUUUUCCUCAGAGUGAAAAAGUAUUUAAUAACAGUGGCUCUGGAGUCCCUGGCAAAGCUCCACAACCUGACUGACAUGUGGUUACAACUUCAACAGUCCAAAGAAGAGAGAAUGGGAGCUACAGGAAACCAAACCAAUGAUCAGAAAACUACCUACAAAAUUUUCCCAGACUCACAGCCACCCUUUCAUAUAUGUUCAAAGAUUCGGAAAGACAUUGUCAAGUGUUUGAGGACUUGGAAAGCAUGUACCCAUAUGCUUUUGUUGGAAAAAAAGAAAAGAAAAAAGGACUUGAUGAAGUAUAUGAACUAACCAAAAAAGUAAUGAAAAUAACUUCAGUUAUUUGCAGGAAAAGGCAUCAUUGAGAAGCCAGAAUGUGAG
rnacentral:lncRNA from 1 species